rnacentral:rRNA from 1 species
GCCCUAGUAACGGCGAGUGAAGCGGCAACAGCUCAAAUUUGAAAUCUGGCUCUUUUAGAGUCCGAGUUGUAAUUUGCAGAGGGCGCUUUGGCUUUGGCAGCGGUCCAAGUUCCUUGGAACAGGACGUCACAGAGGGUGAGAAUCCCGUACGUGGUCGCUGGCUAUUGCCGUGUAAAGCCCCUUCGACGAGUCGAGUUGUUUGGGAAUGCAGCUCUAAAUGGGAGGUACAUUUCUUCUAAAGCUAAAUAUUGGCCAGAGACCGAUAGCGCACAAGUAGAGUGAUCGAAAGAUGAAAAGCACUUUGGAAAGAGAGUCAAACAGCACGUGAAAUUGUUAAAAGGGAAGCGCUUGCAGCCAGACUUGCUUGCAGUUGCUCAUCCGGGCUUUUGCCCGGUGCACUCUUCUGUAGGCAGGCCAGCAUCAGUUUGGGCGGUAGGAUAAAGGUCUCUGUCACGUACCUCCUUUCGGGGAGGCCUUAUAGGGGAGACGACAUACUACCAGCCUGGACUGAGGUCCGCGCAUCUGCUAGGAUGCUGGCGUAAUGGCUGUAAGCGGCCCGUCUUGAAACACGGACCAAGGAGUCUAACAUCUAUGCGAGUGUUUGGGUGUCAAGCCCGAGCGCGUAAUGAAAGUGAACGGAGGUGGGAACCCGCAAGGGUGCACCAUCGACCGAUCCUGAUGUCUUCGGAAGGAUUUGAGUAAGAGCAUGGCUGUUGGGACCCGAAAGAUGGUGAACUAUGCUUGAAUAGCGUGAAGCCAGAGGAAACUCUGGUGGAGGCUCGCAGCGGUUCUGACGUGCAAAUCGAUCGUCAAAUUUGGGCAUAGGGGCUAAAGACUAAU